CAGCAGCCGCGGUAAUACCGGCGGCCCGAGUGGCGGUCACUAUUAUUGGGCUUAAAGCGUCCGUAGCCGGGGUGGGAAGUCCUCCGGGAAAUCUGGCCGCUUAACGGUCAGAAUGCCGGAGGAUACUCCCAGCCUAGGGAGCGGGAGAGGCCGAGGGGAUUCCCGGAGUAGGGGGGAAAUCCUAUAAUCCCGGGAGGACCACCUGUGGCGAAGGCGCUCGGCUGGAACGCGUCCGACGGUGAGGGACGAAGGCCAGGGGAGCAAACCGGAUUAGAUACCCGGGUAGUCCUGGCUGUAAACGAUGCGGACUUUGUGUCGGACAAGCUAUGAGCUUGUCCGGUGCCGGAGGGAAACCGUUAAGUCCGCCGCCUGGGGAGUACGGCCGCAAGGCUGAAACUUAAAGGAAUUGGCGGG
rnacentral:rRNA from 1 species